UUGGUGACCAGCGGAGGGAUCAUUACCGAGUUUUACAACUCCCAAACCCAAUGUGAACCAUACCAAACUGUUGCCUCGGCGGGGUCACGCCCCGGGUGCGUCGCAGCCCCGGAACCAGGCGCCCGCCGGAGGGACCAACCAAACUCUUUACUGUAGUCCCCUCGCGGACGUUAUUUCUUACAGCUCUGAGCAAAAAAUUCAAAAUGAAUCAAAACUUUCAACAACGGAUCUCUUGGUUCUGGCAUCGAUGAAGAACGCAGCGAAAUGCGAUAAGUAAUGUGAAUUGCAGAAUUCAGUGAAUCAUCGAAUCUUUGAACGCACAUUGCGCCCGCCAGUAUUCUGGCGGGCAUGCCUGUCCGAGCGUCAUUUCAACCCUCGAACCCCUCCGGGGGGUCGGCGUUGGGGAUCGGGAACCCCUCAGACGGGAUCCCGGCCCCGAAAUACAGUGGCGGUCUCGCCGCAGCCUCUCCUGCGCAGUAGUUUGCACAACUCGCACCGGGAGCGCGGCGCGUCCACGUCCGUAAAACACCCAACUUUCUGAAAUGUUGACCUCGGAUCAGGUAGGAAUACCCGCUGAACUUAAGCAUAUCAAUAA
rnacentral:rRNA from 1 species